UACGUAUGGAGCAAGCGUUAUCCGGAAUUACUGGGUGUAAAGGGAGCGUAGACGGAUGUGCAAGUCUGAUGUGAAAGGCGGGGGCUCAACCCCUGGACUGCAUUGGAAACUGUAAAUCUUGAGUGCCGGAGAGGUAAGCGGAAUUCCUAGUGUAGCGGUGAAAUGCGUAGAUAUUAGGAGGAACACCAGUGGCGAAAGCGGCUUACUGGACGGUAACUGACGUUGAGGCUCGAAAGCGUGGGGAGCAAACAGG
rnacentral:rRNA from 1 species